rnacentral:rRNA from 1 species
UUUGCGGCGUCAGCGAUGGGCGACCUGAUUCCGGGGUUGCCGGAGGAGGUGGCGAGGGAGUGCCUCAUCAGGGUGGGCUUCGACCAGCUGCCCGCCGUGCGCCGCAUCUCGCGGCAGUGGAAGGAGGAGGUCGAGUCGCCGGACUACGGCCGCCUGCGCCGCGCCGAGGGGCUGGCGCGCCCGGUGCUCGCCAUGGUCCAGGCGCAGCCCGAGCGCGUCGAGCCUGGCCCGGCGCAGAAGCACGCGUCGGCGUCGGCGGCCAACGGCGGACCCGCGAACAACUACAGGAUGGUGCUGCUGGACCCGGUGGCGGGGCGGUGGGCUCCGCUCCCGGUGCUGCCCGGCCCGACCGGGAGCCUGCCCCUGUUCUGCCAGGUCGCCGCGGUGGACGGCCCGCAGGGGAGGAAGCGGCUGGUGGUCGUCGGCGGGUGGGACCCGGAGUCGUGGGCGCCGACGGACUCGGUGUACGUGUACGACUUCCUGACCGGCGCGUGGCGCCGCGGGGCGCCCAUGCCGGGCCCGCGCCGGUCCUUCUUCGCCACCGCGGCCGUCGGCGGGGCCGUGUACGUCGCCGGCGGGCACGACGAGGAGAAGAACGCGCUCCGGUCGGCGCUCGCGUACGACCCGGACGCCGACGCGUGGGCCGCGCUCCCGGACAUGGCGGAGGAGCGCGACGAGCCGCGCGGGCUCUGCGUCGGCGGCAGGUUCCUGGUCGUCGGCGGGUACCCGACGCAGGCGCAGGGCCGCUUCGCCGGCUCCGCCGAGGCCUUCGACCCGGCGACGGCGGCCUGGGACACCGUCCAGGAGGGCCUGCUCGAGGACGGCGCGUGCCCGAGAACCUGCUGCGUGGCGCCCGGAGCCGAGUGCAUGUACAUGCUCCGCGAAGGGAACCUCGUGGCGCGCGACGGCGGCGCCUCGGCGGGGUGGCGCACGGUGGCGUCCGUGCCGGGGGACGCCCGCACGGCGUCGACCGUCUCCGCCAUCCCCGGCGGCCGCGUCGUGGUGAUCGGCUCAGGCUGCCACGGAGGCGACCAGACCGUGUACAUGCUGCGCGACGAGGCCGGCAACGGCAAGGCCGCGUCCUGGGCGCGCGCCCCGGCGCCGCCGGAGUUCUCCGGGCACGUGCAGGCCGCCUGCUUCCUAGAGAUCUGA